UACGUAGGGUCCGAGCGUUGUCCGGAAUUAUUGGGCGUAAAGGGCUCGUAGGCGGUUUGUCACGUCGGAAGUGAGAACUCAGGGCUCAACCCUGAGCGUGCUUACGAUACGGGCAAACUAGAGGUAUGCAGGGGAGAACGGAAUUCCUGGUGUAGCGGUGGAAUGCGCAGAUAUCAGGAGGAACACCGGUGGCGAAGGCGGUUCUCUGGGCAUUACCUGACGCUGAGGAGCGAAAGCAUGGGGAGCGAACAGG
rnacentral:rRNA from 1 species